CAACCAUUAUCCUUCUACUGCUGGAAGUACAUCAUAUCCUCAGUUUUUUCAUGUCUCGCCGUAUUCUAGUGGAUCCAGUGAUAGGAAUACAUGGGUUGGACUUUUGAAUGAUGUCAUCAAUAAAAAAAGCCAUGGAAUUGCAUGAUGAAUGUUGCUGCUUUAGAUUCUUGUCAAGAGAUGGUGUUGAUAUUCAUCAUUUCCCUAAGGUUAGUCUCUGUUUGUUCUUCGAAAGGUGUACUGAAAAAUUUGUUUGGUUUUUGUUUGUUAACAGCAUUGUAGACUUUAGGAUCGCACGAUCUUCUAGUCACCAGGCGCAUGGUGACACUACAAUUUUCAUACUACAGGAUACAGAUUGCAUUCAUACUGAAGCUAUUGCAAAAGAUCCUCAGCACUUCCGACAGAUUGUUGUUUUCCUGGUGGACAAAUUUUGGAUAGACAAUUCUCUUUUGAAG